AUGGCGUCGAGAUCCUACUCCAACCUCUUGGAGCUCGCCGGCGGCGCUGACCGCGACCAGCCGCUGCCGUCCCUCGGGCAGCCACGCAUACCGCGGGUGAUGACGGCGUCUGGCAUUGUGCCCGGCCUUGACCGCUCCGACGCCCCCGCUGACGCUGCCGCCUCGGUGGCCUCCGACGACCAACCCGACCAGCCGCCGCGGGAGCGCACCAUCAUCGUGGCCAACCAGCUGCCCAUCCGCGCCUGCCGCGGCGCCGACGGCGCCUGGGAGUUCUCCUGGGACCAGGACAGCCUCCUGCGGCAGCUCAAGGAGGCUCUGCGCGCGCACCAGGGCCGCGCCCACAUGGACUUCGUCUACAUCGGCGGCCUGCGCGACGACAUCCCGGCGGAGGAGCAGGACAAGGUCGCGCUCGAGCUCUACGACCGCUUCCGCUGCGUGCCCGCCUUCCUGCCGGACGACCUCCGCUCCCGCUUCUACCACGGCUUCUGCAAGCAGCAGCUGUGGCCACUGUUCCAUUACAUGCUGCCACUGUCGCCCGAGCUCGGCGGCCGCUUUGACCGCGACCUGUGGAAGGCCUACCUGUCCGUCAACAAGAUCUUCACCGACAAGAUCAUGGAGGUGAUCAACCCCGAGGAGGACUUCGUCUGGGUGCACGACUACCAUCUCAUGCUCCUGCCCACCUUCCUGCGCAAGAAAUUCAACCGUGUCAGGCUGGGCUUCUUCCUGCACAGCCCGUUCCCAUCAUCGGAGAUCUACAAGACCCUGCCGGUGCGCGAGGAGGUGCUCCGGGCGCUGCUGAAUGCCGACUUGAUUGGGUUCCACACAUUUGAUUAUGCCAGGCAUUUCCUCUCAUGCUGCAGCAGGAUGCUGGGAAUGAAAUACGAGUCGCAGAGGGGAUACAUUGGACUGGAGUAUUAUGGACGGACUGUCACUGUCAAGAUACUGCCGGUGGGGAUACAUUUGAUGCAGCUGCAGGCAGUGCUCAACCUCCCGGAGACCGGGCUCAAGGUCGCCGAGCUUAUGAAGGAGUUCCCUGAUCGUCACCGCAUCAUGAUGCUUGGUGUGGAUGACAUGGACAUAUUUAAAGGCAUCAGUCUGAAGCUUCUGGCAUUUGAGGAGCUCUUGACGCAGCAUCCAGAGUAUCGAGGAAAGGUGGUGCUGGUACAGAUUGCCAAUCCGGCGAGGGGGAAGGGAAAGGAUGUGAAGGAGGUACAGGAUGAGAGCUAUGCCAUGGUGAAGCGCAUCAAUGAGGCAUUUGGGCAGCCAGAUUACCAGCCAGUCAUAUUGAUCGACAGGCCACUGCACUUCUAUGAGAGGAUGGCAUACUAUGUUGUUGCUGAGUGCUGCUUGGUGACCGCGGUGAGGGAUGGCAUGAAUCUUAUACCAUAUGAGUACAUCAUUGCUAGGCAAGGGAAUGAAAAGAUUGACAGGAUCCUGGGUCUCAGCCCUUCCACAAGGAAGAAGAGCAUGCUUGUCGUGUCGGAGUUCAUUGGCUGCUCGCCCUCCCUGAGUGGCGCGAUUCGGGUGAACCCUUGGAACAUUGAGUCAGUGGCCGAGGCAAUGGACAAGGCCUUGCACACAGGUGAAGGUGAGCAGGCGCUGAGGCACGAGAAGCAUCACAAAUUUGUGAGCACACAUGAUGUCGGAUACUGGGCAAACAGCUUCCUGCAGGAUCUGGCGAGGACUUGCCAAGACCAUAACAAGAGGCGCUGCUGGGGCAUAGGAUUUGGGCUAAGGUUCAGGGUUGUGGCCCUUGAUACGAGCUUCAAGAAGCUCGCGGCUGAGCAGCUCAUCUCAGCCUACCGGAAGGCAAGCACGCGUGCCAUUCUCUUGGACUAUGAUGGUACGCUCAUGCCUGAGUCAUCGUUUCGUAAGAUGCCGAGCUCCAAAACAAUAAACAUGUUGAACAGCCUCUGUCGCGAUGAGAAGAACUUGGUCCUAAUCGCAAGCACAAAGACCCGGGCGACCUUAAGUGAAUGGUUCUCAGCAUGUGAGGACCUAGGCCUUGCUGCUGAGCAUGGCUACUUCAUCAGGCUGGAAAGAGAUGCAGAAUGGGAGACAUGCGGCCCGGCAACAGACUUCAGCUGGAAGCAAAUCGCGGAGCCGGUGAUGAAGACCUACACCGAGACAACGGACGGGUCGAUCAUCGAGGACAAGGAGACAGCAAUCGUGUGGUGCUACAAGGACGCCGACCGUGAUUUUGGAUCUUGCCAGGCCAAGGAGCUCCAUGAUCACCUGGAGAGUGUCCUCUCCAACGAGCCGGUAUCAGUCAAAGCUGACCUGAACUAUGUUGAGGUGAAGCCACAGGGUGUGAGCAAGGGCCUGGUGGCGAAGCGGAUGCUGUCGACAAUGCAGGAGCUGGGGCUCCAGCCUGACUUCAUCCUCUGCGUCGGGGAUGACCGCUCCGACGAGGACAUGUUCGAGGUGAUCACCACCGCGGUGGACGGCCCCUACCUGAGCCCUUCCGCGACGGUCUUCGCCUGCACCAUUGGCCAAAAGCCCAGCAAGGCCAAGUACUACCUGGACGAACCCGCCGACAUCAAGCGCAUGAUCCGGGCCCUCGCGAGCGUCUCUGACCAGGAGCUGGCGCUGGAGGAGGGCGAAGAGCUGGAGGAGGGCGAAGACCCUCCUUACCCUUUCCUUGCCGGCGACGGCACCAGCAGCGACGACACCUGGCUGGACUGA
rnacentral:rRNA from 1 species